AUCUACGAGCUAUACACACAAG
rnacentral:siRNA from 1 species